UUUGUUUGCCGUUUAUUGCAUGUGCUUUUGCAAAGGUGUAGCUUGGCAGCAGAGGAGGCCGCAGGCUAGUCUUGUCCUUGCGGGAAGGACAGGCCAAUUCUAAAAGAGCCCUUCUCAAAGAACCUUUUGGAGGAGUGUGUGGAUGGUGGGGGGAGAGGUGCAAGCAAAUGACCAAGCGAGGAGUGAGCCCUCUGGGAUAGCAAAGCUUGCCAGUGCAUGGGAGACCAGAGAAAGCAGCCAGGAACCUCAGAGGGGAGCGGAGACGGACACGGAGCCCGGCUGGGGCGGCACCAAGUCUGCUGCAAGCCAGCCAGCCCCUGAGCUGGUGAACUGGAACAAGCCUGGGAGAAAAGACGUGACCGCGGAGGCAGGGGGAUCUGCAUGACCUUUACCUUCUGUUUACCAAAUGCGGUGUCCUAGAAAUGACAUUCUGACUCUUGCAAAGCCAAUAUACAAUUGCCAUUGCUCUGGAAACCACUAUAUCCCACCAUCAAUUUUCUUAUGCAUCAGUAAACAAUAGUGUUAUCACAGAAGUUACAAUGAGGCAGGUGAAAAUGAGCACCUUCCUAACAGAGGCUCCUCAAAUGAAAUUUAAGAGGCAAAAUAAUCUGCAUUCAAAGUUUAUAUGGGAUUGAAGGAAACGGAAAGGAAGCAAGAAGCAACAUAAAAGGAACCUGAAGAGGGAAGACCAGGAAUUUCAAUUGGGUGAGCAAAAUGGGACAUGUUCAGUCCUUGACUGGAAUUCGGCAUUCCUCUCCAGGAAGUCUCCCAGAGGAAAGGCGUGGGUUGUAUCAGCUGGGAGGAGAAUAUCAAACUCCAUCUGCCCCAACUGUGAUAACCGUCUUGCAGCCAUUCAUGACACAGAACAAGAGUUAGGGACUGAAAACCCAAGGAAUGUAUUUGAAAUGCUGCCAGUUUAGCCAGUUGCCUCCUACUCCUGCAUUAAGCUGCAAACAUGUCAACGAAGGAGCUGGAUAGUAAGGAAGCACAGUAAAAUGUGAGCUGGAAAAGAAGUGUUACCAUGGUGCUUGAGGCCCAUUGCAGCCACAUAGCCCUUGGCUCAGGGAUGAGCUGUCUGUGGACAACUGGCCUCUAGGUUUUCAUCUUAAAAACAAUGUAAACUGUGCCUACUAUUUUUCUUUAUUUCAGAAAUUUCUGGAGGUGAGUUAGGAGACCAGCACAGCAAAUGAUUAUCUGUGGCUGUUCCUGCUACUGGUGCCUGUGGACUUCAAAGAAAAAAAAAUCAAGGUCUGGAUUCCCAAAAUGGUGCGGAGAGGAUACCCUUCAGAUGGACACAGAGCAAGGUGGAUAUGACAUGGCCUGGGAAGAGCAAGACAGCACUACUGUAACAGCAUGUUGAAUUGCCCAGCUGAAAUAAAACACGGAUAUGGCCUUGUGUUUGAGAUUGUACUGAAACUGGGAUUACUCCAGAGCUCUGUUUGUGAACUUGCUACUAAGAUAAGAAAUGGCAGACAAAAAAGAAACUGGGUAAAUGGUACGGAAAAAAAUGGAUACUGGAUUUGCAGAUCUUAGCAGUUGCUGAUCUUUUAGAAGCUAGUAAGUUAUCAGAUUGAAUAUCUGCAUUCUACUGUAAGUCCUUGAAAUUAUUCAAUAUCCAUUCCAAACACCUCUUUGUCAAUGUCACCAUAAUUGUUGGCUGCUUGCACUACUGGUAGCUACCUGUCUUCUUAUACUCAGUAUCAAAAUAUUCAGUUAUAAAAAAAAUAAGGUAAAAAGGAAUUAGAACUCCUUAGAUACAGCUGGUGUAUGUUUAAUUUCAGCAUUUUUUUCCAGCAGGAAGCUACACUUGUCAGCACUGUUUGCAAGUUUUUAACCUGGUUUUUACCUUUCUAAGAACGUGAGUAACAAAGUGACUAGAGAAAAAGGAAAUUUCUUAUUUAUGUCAAAUCAGAUUAAAGUUGAAUUGACCAUUUCUUUUUUAAGGCUUGUUUUAAAGGAAAGCGUUACAGGAGAGCUCUGUAGCAAUCUCAGAUCAGUGGAAAAUAGAGAGAGUGGACUGUGUUUGAUUCUGGUGUCGUCUACUCAAGUUUCAUUGCAGCAUGAGAAGAUAAAACAACUGUAAUGAACUUCAGAGCACAGUGAAAAGAAGAUGCAGCAACUGGUAGCAGAUUUUAAGUCCUAGAUUAUUCUGGUUGCUAACAUCCCUCAGAAGUAUUUACCAAAAGUACCAAAUGGCCACAGUGCUUUGAUAAAUUCCAGAGAAACUUCCGAGAUCUGGAAUUUUCUUAAUUGAAAUUGCUGAGUUUAGAACAUUACAUAAAAACAGCUGAAGUUCAUACUUUUCUCAGAAGGAAAAGUUACAGUACAUAUAUUUCCCAGGACUAAAAAGAACUUCUUUCUUCUUUGUUAUAUCAUUUAGACCAACAAAUUUCAAAGCCAGAUCAGAAAAUGGAGCCUUAAUGAUAAUUUUAAUCACAUAAUUAGGAAGGUAUCAAUAACCUUGAGUGAGAGAGACGCGGUAUCAGUUAAAAUGGAAAGAAUGUGGCAGUCACAGUCAUUAAAGUGAGUGAUGAAAAACAAACAAUUAUGCUAGAGUUCAAAGUUACUAAGCAACUGUAUUUAAAGGAAGAAAAUCAAACUCCAUGUUUUUCUCUAUGGGCGUUCCAGUUACUGAACUGACUGCAGGACUACUGCUAAGACAUAAGUUACGCUGGGGCUUUUCUUUAGAUGUGUUCUCAAUUUUGUUACCUUUGUUUUUAAUUUAAUUUAAUUCUGAAAGACAUUUCAUUGACACUAGGCAGAAAGCUCUGGCAAGAAGGAAUGUGGCGAUUCAGAUGGAGUGCACACCUAGAGAUGUGGCGGUUCAAGAAUCUGUCUGCAGUGAGUGCCUGAGGCUGUUGUUGCCACUGAAGGGCAGCAGGGAUUCCACCCGCGUGAGGUGCGAGCAGGAGGAUGAUCUGCUCAGUGUGCUGGCAGAGCUCAAGGAGGAGGUGGAGAGAUUAAGGAGUAUCAGAGAGUACGAGCAGGAGAUAGAUUGGUUGAGUAACCCUCUGCCAAACUUCUGAGAAAGACACCGGGGUGAUACUUCCAGAGGGUGGCGGACCCCCUCCCACCCUGGAGUGGAAACAAGUCCCAGCUCAGCGUCAUAGACAGCACCCAUCCCCACCCACCUCAAUUCCCCAGGUGCCCCUACGUAAUAGGUUUGAGGUUCUGGAACUUGAGGAAGAGGUGAGUGAGGCUGCACUCACACAAGAGUGAGGAGGUUGUCAGGGGAGAGGCAGUCAACCUCACACCUCCAGACGGCCUCCGCCAAGGACAGAAGGGUGACUGCCGUAGGUGGCUCCUGCUGAGAAGAAUGGUAUGUCAGGUUGACCCUGCCCACAGGGAAAUGUGCUGCCUUCCUGGGGCCUGGGUCAGGGAUAUUUCUAGGCAACUUCCUGGUCUGAUUCUCCCCUCUGAUUAUUGUCCUUUAUUGACAGUUCAGACUGGCAGCAGUGAAGUUGCUGAGAGAAUCCUGAGGAUUAUCAAAAAAGUCUUUAGGGAACUGGGGCGAUUAGUAGACAGAGCAGGCAUACACGUCGUAAUUUCCUCUGUCCCUUCAGUGGCAGGGAGGGAUACUGAGAGGAGCAGGAGAACCCAUCUCAUAAAUCUGAGGCUGAGAGGCUGGUGCAAACGCAAGUAUUUUGGUUUUUUUGACCAUGGGCCAGUUUACUUGGCACCUGGCCUGAGGGCUGGGGAUGGGUCUUGCCUGUCUCAAAGGGGGAAACUGACCCUGGCCCCAGAGCAGCAAGGGCUCCUUGAGAGGGCUUUAAACUGGAUAUGAAGGGGAAAGGGAAUAAAACCAGGUCCACUAGAGAUGAGCCUAGGGGAACAAUGACAGGAUUGUGGGUGAGGCAAGAGGCUCAGCUGAAGUGCAUCUACACCAAUGCACACAGCAUGGGCAACAAACAGGAGGAGCUGGAAUCUGUUGUGCGGCAGGCAAACUAUGACUUAGUUGCCAGUAUGGAAACAUGGUGGGAUCAUCCCAUAACUGGAGUGCUGCAGUGGAUGGCUACAAGCUCUUCAGAAGGGAAAGGGGUGGUAGUGUGGCUCUCUCUGUUAGAGGGAGCUUUGAUGUUGUUGAGCUUGGGGCUGGGAAUGAUAAUGUUGAGUGUCUAUAGUAAAGAUCAAGGGGAGGGCCAACAAGGCAGACAUCGAUAUGGUGGUCUGUAACAGACCACCUAACCAGGAUGAAGAGACAGAUGAGGUGUUCUAUGAACAGCUGGCAGAAGCUGUGCAAUUGCCAGCCAUUGUUCUCAUGGGGAACUUCAACUUCCCUGUUAUAUGUUGGAAAUACACUGCAGCACAGAAGAAGCAAUCUAGCAGGUUUUUGGAGUGUAUGGAAGAUAACUUCCUUCUGCAGCUGGUAAGAGAGCCUACCAGGGGAGGUGCCCUGCUAGACCUGCUGUUCACAAGCAGAGAAGAUCUGGUGGGAGAUGUGGUGGUUGGGAGUUGUCUUGAACAGUGACCACCAAAUGGAAGAAUUCUUGAUUCUUUGUGAAGUCAGGAGGGGUGACAGCAAAACUGCUACCUUGGAGUUCCAGAGAGCAGACUUUGAACUGUUCAGGGUGCUGGUAGGGAGAAUCCCUUGGGAUUGAGUCCUGAAGGGUAAAGAGGUCCAGGAAGCCUGGUUGCUCCUCAAGAAGGAAGUCUUAAAGGCACAGGAGCAGGCUAUCCCCCUGUGCCGCAGGAUGAGCCGGUGGGGAAGAAGUCCGGCGUGGAUGAACAGGGAGCUUUUCCUGAGCCUCCAGGAGAAAAAGAGAAUCUUCCUCCUGUGGAAGAAGGGACUGGCAACUCGAGGAGAGUACAAAGAAGUUAUUAGGAUGUGC